rnacentral:rRNA from 1 species
AAUGGGCGCAAGCCUGAUCCAGCAAUGCCGCGUGUGUGAAGAAGGCCUGCGGGUUGUAAAGCACUUUCAGUGGGGAAGAACGGAUGCGGGCCAAUACCCCGGAUCACUGACGUUACCCACGGAAGAAGCACCAGCUAACUCCGUGCCAGCAGCCGCGGUAAUACGGAGGGUGCAAGCGUUAUCCGGAUUCACUGGGUUUAAAGGGUGCGUAGGUGGGUUGGUAAGUCAGUGGUGAAAUCCCCGAGCUUAACUUGGGAACUGCCAUUGAUACUAUCAGUCUUGAAUACCGUGGAGGUCAGCGGAAUAUGUCAUGUAGCGGUGAAAUGCUUAGAUAUGACAUAGAACACCAAUUGCGAAGGCAGCUGGCUACUCGAUUAUUGACACUGAGGCACGAAAGCGUGGGGAUCAAA